rnacentral:rRNA from 1 species
GACGAACGCUGGCGGCGUGCUUAACACAUGCAAGUCGAACGGUAAGGCCCUUCGGGGUACACGAGUGGCGAACGGGUGAGUAACACGUGGGUGAUCCGCCCUGCGCUUCGGAUAAGCCUGGGAAACUGGGUCUAAUACCGGAUAGGACCCUGGGAUGCAUGUCCUGGGGUGGAAAGCUUUUGCGGUGUGGGAUGGGCCCGCGGCCUAUCAGCUUGUUGGUGGGGUGAUGGCCUACCAAGGCGACGACGGGUAGCCGGCCUGAGAGGGUGACCGGCCACACUGGGACUGAGAUACGGCCCAGACUCCUACGGGAGGCAGCAGUGGGGAAUAUCGCACAAUGGGCGCAAGCCUGAUGCAGCGACGCCGCGUGAGGGAUGACGGCCUUCGGGUUGUAAACCUCUUUCAGCACCGACGAAGCGCAAGUGACGGUAGGUGCAGAAGAAGGACCGGCCAACUACGUGCCAGCCGCCGCGGUAA